rnacentral:rRNA from 1 species
CCGGCAGGGGUGAGUAACACGUAUGCAACUUGCCUAUCAGAGGGGGAUAACCCGGCGAAAGUCGGACUAAUACCGCAUGAAGCAGGGAUCCCGCAUGGGAAUAUUUGCUAAAGAUUCAUCGCUGAUAGAUAGGCAUGCGUUCCAUUAGGCAGUUGGCGGGGUAACGGCCCACCAAACCGACGAUGGAUAGGGGUUCUGAGAGGAAGGUCCCCCACAUUGGAACUGAGACACGGUCCAA